rnacentral:lncRNA from 1 species
GGAGUCUUAUCACCCAGGCUGGAGUGCAGUUGCGCAAUCUCAGCUCACUGCAGCCUCUGUCUCCCGGGUUCAAGCAAUCCUCCCAGAAUGGAAGAGCAAUCUAUUUGCUCCUACUUGGAAAAGAUUCUUUCUAAAAAUAUGGAACUGAUGGAAAAGAAACUUAUGGAUUACAUUGAUCAGCGAAUACAUGAACUCCAGGAGCACAUUGAUGAUAAGAUUGCUUUGUUACUGGAUUUGCUGCAAAAUCCUAACUCCCCGCCCACUGGGAUACCUCUAAGACAUUAUGACUCUGGAGAAAGACUUUCAAAUGGAGAAAGAUAAGCUCUCAACAUAAACAGUAAACAGGAUGCCUGUGAUGAAAAGUUCCUUUUGUAACCAGUCCAGAGGAGACUGGUUACAACCACGAUAGCUGACCAAACGACUUUAAAAAGACCUCAGCCUUUUUAUAAUCUUAUUUCUGUGCUAAAUAACGCUCCUGCUAGCUCCAUGACAGUUGACAAUCGCCAUGACAGUGACCAGAAGAAGCCAUGAAAGGACAAAAAGGAAGGCAGCACUCUGGUUUUAGGAAGUUCACUGCCCAUUUCUGAAAAAUCCAGGAAUAUUCCUCCCUUUGCUUGAAUGUGAAACACCUUUAUUAGAAAAAUUAUAUUUUAACCCCCUCACUCCUCAUUAGUUGAAAAGUUGAUUUGUGAGCCAUACUCCUGCUUCUCAAUUCAGUGGCGAUUGAAUAAAACCUG